UACAGAGACUGCGAGCGUUAUUCGGAUUCACUGGGCGUAAAGGGUGCGCAGGCGGCCGUGUGUGUGAGGCGUGAAAGCCCGGGGCUUAACCCCGGAAUUGCACCUCAAACUACACGGCUAGAGCAUUGGAGAGGGUAGCGGAAUUCACGGUGUAGCAGUGAAAUGCGUAGAUAUCGGGAGGAACACCUGUGGCGAAAGCGGCUCACUGGACCAUAACUGACGCUGAUGCACGAAAGCUAGGGGAGCAAACAGG
rnacentral:rRNA from 1 species